rnacentral:lncRNA from 1 species
UCUCAUCUCUCUCUGAGCUAGGAAGGUGAUCUCAAUCAAGUCUAGUGGAGCCGCUACUACCUGAUCAACUCUCAAUCCUGCCAGUACCAUCUCAACUAUCCUUUACAUCUGAUCAUCAUCAAGUCUAAUGGUGGAGGGCGGUGACUGCUAUGGUAUUGCUAGUGUUUGUGUUGGUGCUACUGGUGGGGUUAGUAGUUCUGCCAUAGGUGGUGGAGAGUCUAGCUCUGAGUCAUGCUGAGGUGCACUGGGUUUGGCCUUAGCUUCUCUCGCUCGCUCCUGUCUGAAGCCUCUCUGCACCCAAUGCCUAUCCAACUUUUGGUACCCCAUACAAUGUAAGGAUCGAUCAAUGUAGGUGUUAGAAGUGCAUGAGGACUUGGGAGGUCUCGCCUACUAAGACAACACCAAACUCUCGAAAGACAAGUAUCAACGCCAUGUCAUAAGAGAAGCAAACCUUCAUCUAGUAGCUACCCCUCUCAUCUACUGUAACAUCAGGGCUAGAAGGUUCAGGUUUAGGGGAAUACCUUGAACCACAUGGUACAUGACCAUGAUGUCCUUCUCCAAGAUAAAAUCAAAUCUUCCUAUCAUUGGAAAGAAAAUCUGACCAAUAAUAUAAUGUAAGAGCUACAUCUCAACUAACAGUUGAUUCGCCAA